UACGUAGGUGGCGAGCGUUGUCCGGAAUUACUGGGUGUAAAGGGCGUGUAGGCGGGAAUGUAAGUCAGAUGUGAAAUUCCGAGGCUCAACCUCGGCGCUGCAUCUGAAACUAUAUUUCUUGAGUGCUGGAGAGGAAAGCGGAAUUCCUAGUGUAGCGGUGAAAUGCGUAGAUAUUAGGAGGAACACCAGUGGCGAAGGCGGCUUUCUGGACAGUAACUGACGCUGAGGCGCGAAAGCGUGGGGAGCAAACAGG
rnacentral:rRNA from 1 species